GACGAACGCUGGCGGCGUGCCUAACACAUGCAAGUCGAGCGGAGUCGAUCGACGGAAGCCUUCGGGCGGAAGAUGGUUGACUUAGCGGCGGAUGGGUGAGUAACGCGUGGGCAACCUGCCUCGAAGACCGGGAUAACAGCCCGAAAGGGCUGCUAAUACCGGAUGUGGUCAAGGGUCCGCAUGGAUUUUUGAUUAAAGGGGAAACCCGUUUCGAGAUGGGCCCGCGUCCUAUCAGCUAGUUGGUGAGGUAAAAGCUCACCAAGGCGACGACGGGUAGCCGGCCUGAGAGGGUGACCGGCCACACUGGAACUGAGACACGGUCCAGACUCCUACGGGGGGCAGCAGUGGGGAAUCUUCCACAAUGGGCGAAAGCCUGAUGGAGCGACGCCGCGUGAGCGAAGAAGGCCUUCGGUUGUAAAGCUCUGUCUGGAGGGACGAAGGAAGUGACGGUACCUCCGGAGGAAGCCACGGCUAACUACGUGCCAGCAGCCGCGGUAAAGAGUAAGUACA
rnacentral:rRNA from 1 species